GACAGAGGCCCCAAGCGUUAGGCGGAAUCACUGGGCUUAAAGCGUGUGUAGGCGGAUCGUUAAGUGUCUUGUGAAAUCCCACGGCUCACCCGUGGAACUGCUGGGCAUACUGGCGAUCUUGGGCCAACUAGGGGCAGCCGGAACAAGCGGUGGAGCGGUGAAAUGCGUAGAUAUCGCUUGGAACGCCAAAGGUGAAAACAGGCUGCUGGGGUUGUGCCGACGCUGAGACACGAAAGCUAGGGGAGCAAACGGG
rnacentral:rRNA from 1 species